rnacentral:sRNA from 1 species
CUUUCUUACUUAUCUC